AUUGAACGCUGGCGGCAUGCCUUACACAUGCAAGUCGAACGGUAACAGGUCUUCGGAUGCUGACGAGUGGCGAACGGGUGAGUAAUACAUCGGAACGUGCCUAGUAGUGGGGGAUAACUACUCGAAAGAGUGGCUAAUACCGCAUGAGAUCUACGGAUGAAAGCAGGGGAUCGCAAGACCUUGUGCUACUAGAGCGGCCGAUGGCAGAUAAGGUAGUUGGUGGGAUAAAAGCUUACCAAGCCGACGAUCUGUAGCUGGUCUGUGAGGACGAUCAGCCACACGGGUACUGAGAAACGGCCCAGACUCCUGCGGGAGGCAGCAGUGGGGAAUUUUGGACAAUGGGCGCAAGCCUGAUCCAGCAAUGACGCAUGCAGGAUGAAGGCCUUCGGAUUGUAAUCUGCUUUUGUACGGAGCGAAAAGCCCCGGGUUAAUACCCUGGGGUCAUGACGGUACCGUAAGAAUAAGCACCGGCUAACUACGUGCCAGCAGCCGCCGUAA
rnacentral:rRNA from 1 species